rnacentral:snRNA from 1 species
GAAAGUAUAUGUGUGAGGCAUCUGGUUGAUCCCCAGGAUUGAUUUGGCUGAUCUGGCUGGCUAGGCAGGUAUCACUGACCGCUCCAUGUAUGUCCUUAUUGAAGCUGCAUGGUUGGUGGAGGAGGAUGACCAUCCCAUGUAGAAGGAGUGUAGCUUUUUUUGAUCAAGAGUGCACAAUAUCUGUCCCCCCCCCCCGUUAGAACCUCCAAACAUGGUCAAGUAUGUAUGUAUAUAAAUAUCAGCACUGAAAAUAUUGAGUAAUCUGAGUAAAUGUAGGACUC